rnacentral:rRNA from 1 species
UACGGGGGGUGCAAGCGUUGUCCGGAAUUACUGGGCGUAAAGGGCGUGUAGGCGGCAGGACAAGUCAGAUGUGAAAGCCCCCGGCUUAACCGGGGAAAUGCAUUUGAAACUGUUUUGCUUGAGUGCGAGAGGGGGUAGUGGAAUUCCCAGUGUAGCGGUGAAAUGCGUAGAUAUUGGGAAGAACACCAGUAGCGAAGGCGGCUACCUGGCUCGCAACUGACGCUAAGGCGCGAAAGCGUGGGGAGCAAACAGG